UACGAAGGGGGCUAGCGUUGUUCGGAUUUACUGGGCGUAAAGGGCGCGUAGGCGGAUUUUUAAGUCAGGGGUGAAAUCCCAAGGCUCAACCUUGGAACUGCCUUUGAUACUGGGAAUCUUGAGUCCGGGAGAGGUGAGUGGAACUGCGAGUGUAGAGGUGAAAUUCGUAGAUAUUCGCAAGAACACCAGUGGCGAAGGCGGCUCACUGGCCCGGAACUGACGCUGAGACGCGAAAGCGUGGGGAGCAAACAGG
rnacentral:rRNA from 1 species